GACAUGAGCUGCUCCACCUGCGCUUCUGCAGCACAAAACUGUUCGAUGUUGCUGAGAGGCAUCAGGAACAGCUCGGGUGGUU
rnacentral:precursor_RNA from 1 species